GGGAGUAUGAAGACUUUUAAUUUAGUGGUAAGAUUCAUUAUAUUAUAUUUCUU
rnacentral:tRNA from 1 species